AAGUCGUAACAAGGUCUCCGUAGGUGAACCUGCGGAGGGAUCAUUACUGAGUGAGGGCCUCCGGGUCCGACCUCCAACCCCCAUGUAUUCCGACUCUGUUGCCUCGGGGGCGACCCUGCCUUCGGGCGUUGGGGGCCCCCCGGGCUGGACCACACAACUCUGCAUCUUUGCGUCUGAGUAACACUUUGAAUUAAAUCAAAA
rnacentral:misc_RNA from 1 species